AGGCCAUUUUAAAGAGGGCUCAUGGGACUAUGAAACCAAGAGCUCUUAAUGCUGUGACCAAAGAUUGAAGUUCUCUGUAGGUUGCCAAAGCACUCAGUGGUGCUAUGUUUUCCUGAGGAGAUAUAAGA
ensembl:snoRNA SNORA25B small nucleolar RNA, H/ACA box 25B